CGAACGGUAACAGGAAGCAGCUUGCUGCUUCGCUGACGAGUGGCGGACGGGUGAGUAAUGUCUGGGAAACUGCCUGAUGGAGGGGGAUAACUACUGGAAACGGUGGCUAAUACCGCAUAACGUCGCAAGACCAAAGAGGGGGACCUUCGGGCCUCUUGCCAUCAGAUGUGCCCAGAUGGGAUUAGCUUGUUGGUGAGGUAACGGCUCACCAAGGCGACGAUCCCUAGCUGGUCUGAGAGGAUGACCAGCCACACUGGAACUGAGACACGGUCCAGACUCCUACGGGAGGCAGCAGUGGGGAAUAUUGCACAAUGGGCGCAAGCCUGAUGCAGCCAUGCCGCGUGUAUGAAGAAGGCCUUCGGGUUGUAAAGUACUUUCAGCGGGGAGGAAGGUGUUGUGGUUAAUAACCGCAGCAAUUGACGUUACCCGCAGAAGAAGCACCGGCUAACUCCGUGCCAGCAGCCGCGGUAAUACGGAGGGUGCAAGCGUUAAUCGGAAUUACUGGGCGUAAAGCGCACGCAGGCGGUCUGUCAAGUCGGAUGUGAAAUCCCCGGGCUCAACCUGGGAACUGCAUUCGAAACUGGCAGGCUUGAGUCUUGUAGAGGGGGGUAGAAUUCCAGGUGUAGCGGUGAAAUGCGUAGAGAUCUGGAGGAAUACCGGUGGCGAAGGCGGCCCCCUGGACAAAGACUGACGCUCAGGUGCGAAAGCGUGGGGAGCAAACAGGAUUAGAUACCCUGGUAGUCCACGCCGUAAACGAUGUCUACUUGGAGGUUGUGCCCUUGAGGCGUGGCUUCCGGAGCUAACGCGUUAAGUAGACCGCCUGGGGAGUACGGCCGCAAGGUUAAAACUCAAAUGAAUUGACGGGGGCCCGCACAAGCGGUGGAGCAUGUGGUUUAAUUCGAUGCAACGCGAAGAACCUUACCUGGUCUUGACAUCCACAGAAGAAUCCAGAGAUGGAUUUGUGCCUUCGGGAACUGUGAGACAGGUGCUGCAUGGCUGUCGUCAGCUCGUGUUGUGAAAUGUUGGGUUAAGUCCCGCAACGAGCGCAACCCUUAUCCUUUGUUGCCAGCGAUUAGGUCG
rnacentral:rRNA from 1 species